rnacentral:rRNA from 1 species
CAUUAUUGAAUAGCGCGCCCGCGCUCAUUCUCCGGCUGUGCGCCCUCGGGCCGCACGCCUGGAUCUACAACACCUGUGCAUGUUUCGUUCGGUCGGCUCGGCCGUUCGCCUUUCAUCAACAUCUGUAUUGAAUGUCCAUAUUAUAUAUAAAUACAACUUUCAGCAACGGAUCUCUUGGCUCUCGCAUCGAUGAAGAACGCAGCGAAAUGCGAUAAGUAAUGUGAAUUGCAGAAUUCAGUGAAUCAUCGAAUCUUUGAACGCACCUUGCGCCCCAUGGUAUUCCGUGGGGCAUGCCUGUUUGAGUGUCACGUGAAACCUCACACGCCGUGAUGUCAAAGUCGCGUCGGGUGGAUUUGGACCGUGCCGUAGUUGGCUCGUCCUGAAAUGCAUUAGCCUGGUCGUCGGACCGAAAGGCCGUGGUGUGAUAAUCUAUCUGCGCCAAUAAGUGCCCGAGGUGUAAUUCGACUUGAUCGGCUCACAAUCGUCCGUGAGGACAACUUACUUGACAGUUUGGCCUCAAAUCAGGUAGGACUACCCGCUGAACUUAAGCAUAUCAAUAAGCGGAGGAAAAGAAACUAACAAGGAUUCCCCUAGUAACGGCGAGUGAAGCGGGAAGAGCUCAAAUUUAAAAUCUGGCGGCUUUGUCGCCCGAGUUGUAGUUUAGAGAGGUGUUUUCCGCGUCGGACCACGUACAAGUCCCUUGGGAUGGGGCGUCAGAGAGGGUGAGAAUCCCGUUCGUGACGUGGACUGCCGAUGCUCUGUGAUGCGCCUUCGAAGAGUCGAGUUGUUUGAGAAUGCAGCUCAAAAUGGGUGGUAAACUCCAUCUAAAGCUAAAUACAGGCGAGAGACCGAUAGCGAACAAGUACCGUGAGGGAAAGAUGAAAAGAACUUUGGAAAGAGAGUUAAACAGUACGUGAAAUUGCUGAAAGGGAAACGCUUGGAGUCAGUCGCGUUGGCAGAGACUCAGCCUGGCCUCGUGCCGGGUGCACUUCUCUGUCGACGGGUCAGCAUCAGUUUCGGUUGCCGGAUAAAGGCUUGGGGAAUGUGGCACCUCCGGGUGUGUUAUAGCCCUGGGUCAUACACGGUGGC